CAAAUUUCCAUUUGUGUUUGUACUUCCAAAAAAAAUUCCCUCUUCAUUUCAAACUGAGAUGUUGGAAAAAUUUGGCUAUGGCCAUGUCAAAUACUCAAUCAAAGUAGUUUUGAAGAGAUCUUCACGUCAAGCAAAUGGAGAAACCUGCUACAUUCCAUUCACUGGAGUUUUGAAGCCGUCAUGGACCCCAAAUUACGAAUAUGUCCUCGAUUUUACAGUUAAAACCAUUGUUGACUUAAAUACAAUCCCAAAAGCAGCAGUAAAAUUAUUUCUACAUGAUAUGUUAACAUAUUUUUCAAAAUCACCAUCUUUUAAAUUUUAUUGAUAGCUACCAACUCAAUCAAUAAAAACCAAGCCCGUUUUUCGUUGGUUUUGCUGCCGAUCUGGACUUAUAACGGUAACACUGUAUCAAGACCGUACAGGCUAUGUCGCAGGUGAAACCAUUCUCUUGCAUGCAGAUGUAGACAACCAAAGCAUGACAACAUUGCUUGGUGCAACGGUUUUUCUCAUUAAGAGCGUUGAUUUUCAUACCCACAACAAAUCCAAAACCUACGAAUGCGUUUUGUGUGAACAGAAAUGGCGCGGAAGAGUGUUCCAAGAAGUACCUCAAGUGUUCCCAAUCGUCGUCCCUACAAUGACACAAUCCUAUUUGCAUUUUUGCUAUAUUAUUGACGUCUCCUACAAAAUUGAGGAUUGCUGGUCGGUCAACAUAUGCUGCUCCUAGCUACUACACCGAGUCACCGAAAUACAACACGACCAAAGCGCCUGAAUACUACACCACAGCAUCCUACUACACCACUACAUAUGCUGCGCCGACCUACUACACUGAAGCUCCCAAGUACUAAUCAGCUCCAAGCUAGUACACUGAGGCUCCCAAAUACUACACCACUAAGGCACCGGAGUACUACACAACGACUUACGCUGCACCAAGUUACUACACCGACGCCCCCAAGCUGCUGGGGCGUCUAUGCUGUCCCCAGCUUUACUACUAACUACUACUACCGCUGCUUACUACACCGAAGCAGAAGCAACCAAGUACCACGUAGCUCCGACUUACUACACUGAAGCCGCUCGGUCUCACUACAGUGAGCCCACUUACUACACUGAGACCCCUCAGUAUUACUCCGCCCCGUCUUACUACACCGAGUAAGACGGGAGCCGCAUAAGUGGUGGUGCAGUAUUCGGCCGCCUUUCUAGUGUAGUAUUUUGGAGCCUCUGUAUAGUAGCUAGGAGUGGCAUAUGAUGUGGUGUAGUAUUCAGGUGCCUUGGUGGUGUAGUAGUAGUACUGUGCAAGUAGUAGGAAAGUAGUGAUAAUGCCAUUGUAAUGUCAAA